rnacentral:rRNA from 1 species
UACGUAGGGUGCAAGCGUUAAUCGGAAUUACUGGGCGUAAAGCGUGCGCAGGCGGUUUUGUAAGACAGAUGUGAAAUCCCUGGGCUCAACCUAGGAACUGCAUUUGUGACUGCAAAGCUAGAGUGUGACAGAGGGGGGUAGAAUUCCACGUGUAGCAGUGAAAUGCGUAGAGAUGUGGAGGAAUACCAAUGGCGAAGGCAACCCCCUGGGAUAACACUGACGCUCAUGUACGAAAGCGUGGGGAGCAGACAGG